AUGCUGAGAAUUCUCGAUGCCAGGCUGCCCAAGGCCACAGUGAGCAUCAGAUAAGGGAGAACUAUUCCUUUGUUCUGAAGACUUCAUGACUCAGGGCUGAGCUCAAUCUAAAUGACAUGCAGCAUUAUUUUCUACUUACUAUGUAGUCUAGGGUUCCUCCUGUUUCUCUGCCACCUAGAGAUCAAUUCAUUUUUAUCAAUAUUUGGGAAAAUCAGUGACAUAAAUCAGCUCCAGCAUCAAACUUCAGCUGCUACAGAGAAGGCCAGGUGUAUGGAGCAAACAAAGCCUGCAGCCUGGGAGAUUAGGAACCACUCCUAACAAUGGACUUAAUAACAUCACAUUCAUCACCUGAUUGGAUUCUUCCAACAUGAAGCUCACAGAAGGUGAGUUACCUCAGUCCGUUCUCCUGAGAGCACUCCCUCAGUAACACACUUGAACGAGUCUCCACUCGGGCUCUGCUUCUAGAGCACAUGACCCAAGACACCAGGCAACUCCUGGUUAACUCAGGACUCUGCCAGCGUUCAAUAACUCAAGCUAUCCUUCACCCUCGUCUCUCAUACUCACUCCUGUGGUCGCUGAGUAUCACCUCAUUACCCAGCACAUCCUGGGUAUCCAUCGCACCUCCACCUCCUGUAAUAAUCCCAUUCCAUCACUUGCCCAAUCUAGCAGCCUCAACAUAUCCCUGAGCCUUGUCUACAUACACAUGUCCAAUUGUAGACCCCACCUCUGAGCCAUAGCACAUCCUCAGCCCUAGACCCACGUAGCAUUAACCUCACUCUCAAGAGAGAAAAACUGGGUUAGUAUUUAAGGCAGGACUUCUCUAACUUCAGUGUGCAGAUGAACCUGGGCAUCUUGUUAAAAUGAAGGCUCUGCCUGAGCAGGUCGGGGCAGGGACGAGAGGCUCUGCAUUUCUAACAAGCUCCUGAGAAUGCAAAGGCUGCUGGUCCACUGCACUCUUGUUACAAUGGACCAGCAGCGUUAACCAUGGGGAAAGUCAAAGUUUAAUGUCAGACUUUGACGUUUGGUUACACGUGUGUUCACAUUUCUAGAGCAGUAGUUCUCAACUGGGAGAGAGUUUAUCGCCCAGGGCAUAAAUGGAAAUUUCUAAAGAUGCUUUUUGGUCUCCUUCAGCCUCAUCCCCUAGGGCACAAUAAAGUCUAACAAAGGGUAGGGAUGUGGUAAUAUGAAGGCUGAGCUGGUGAAAUCACCUUGUCACUCAAAGCCACAUUUCCCUUCCACCACCUGGGUCAAAAUGUGCUCAAGCAUCAUUUCCUCUGUGAAACCCUUCCAUGCAGACACCACCAGCCAUACGUCCCUUGCUCCUUUCUCCAGGGUGCUCUGGGCCCCUCCCUCCAUCAGUUAGAAUUCCGGUCACCUUCAAGUGAUGAAACCCUAAACGAACAGGCACUUGACCAGUUUAAUUCUCCCAGGUGACAGUACUGGCAUGGCUCUUCACAGCCUCGGGGAGGCAGGCUCCUUCUCUCUUGUCCUGCCUUACUUGACCUUCACGCCUAAGAUCAUUUUCUGGCCCCAGGUGGCAGCUCCUACUCCAGCCAUCUGGUCCACAUUCCAGAGUGCAGGAAGGAGGAAAGGUGGGGGAUGACGCCUUCCCCCUUAAGAACACUUCCUAGAAGCUGCAUAUACCACUUCUGUUCAACAUCUUUUUGGCUAGAAUUUGGUCACAAUACCACACCUAAUUUCAAGAGACACUAGGAAAAUACCUUGAAUCCAUGUAGUCAUCUGCCCAGUUAAAAAUCAGAGCUUCUACAUUAGGAAGGGGAGAAUAGAUACCGAGAUAACUGAUCUAUCUUGCCACAGUUCUCUCCCUAGUACCGUCCUGAUUACUCUGAGACCUCCUGGGGACAGGGUCCAAGCCCAAGUCUUCUUCAAGAACACAGGAAAUGGCCCACAGGGGGUUCUCUGGCAAUGUACAGCUAACUCUGCUUCUCAUGUUGUGUACUUCUCAUGUUGAAACUGUUACACACUUUCCAGGUACUAAUUCACUUGGUCCUCGCCACCCACCCUGCAAUCUAGGUAUUACUGUAACUCUCAUUUUACACAAUACAAAACUGAGCUCAUAAAGACUUAACAAGCUACUCCUAGUCACACGUCUAUUAACUGAAGGAGCCACAAUUUGGACCCAGGCAGUCUGGUUCCAAGGCACCUGCUCUUAACCCCCCAAAUACUCGGCCGACAUCUAUGAAUCUGAACUGCACUACAGGACACCACCCAGAGCACCUCAUGGACCCUCUACCCCAAAGGCCAGCAGCACUCCUGGGGGGAUCCCCAGAGUAUUCUUUCGGGACAUAGGGGUAUAAUGGGUCCUGUAACAAGAUCUUCUCCAGAGAAAAGCGCAGAUGUUGUGGCUCUGGGGUGGUGCCCCCUCCUCCAAGCUGAUGACUAAGGCCAGAGGACCAACUACUUCUAGACCUUUAUUUCUCUGUGAAAAGGGGGAAAAUAAAAGGAAUAAAAUAAAAACGGCACAGUUGACACACAAAAAAAAACCAAUGAUGGGGAGGACGGGAGGUGGAGAAGUAAAUGGGGGAGGGGUUCCCAUUACAGCAGCAGGAUCCAGUGACCCGGGAUGCUCACAUCUCUCCCUGACGUGGGCGGAGUAGCCCCUUCCUCCCAAGGUCACUGUCCUGUCCAACCCCGUGCUCCCCUAGCCCGUUGGGAGGUGGACAGUGAGACAUCUUCCCAGGCUGGGGAGAGGAGGAACCGUGCUGGGGGAAGGGGCCUGGGGUCAGACCAUGCACAGGGAGUGACAGCCAAAGGCCCCCCAGUGUCUCCCCAAAGAGGGACUUGUGGGGGUUGGAGGGUGGACACCAGAGGCCAGUGUUUGCUCCUCUUCCAGCAUCAGGCGAGAGAC
rnacentral:lncRNA from 1 species